rnacentral:rRNA from 1 species
GUAGGUGGCAAGCGUUGUCCGGAAUUAUUGGGCGUAAAGCGCGCGCAGGCGGUUCUUUAAGUCUGAUGUGAAAGCCCACGGCUCAACCGUGGGAGGGUCAUUGGAAACUGGAGAACUUGAGUACAGAAGAGGAAAGCGGAAUUCCACGUGUAGCGGUGAAAUGCGUAGAGAUGUGGAGGAACACCAGUGGCGAAGGCGGCUUUCUGGUCUGUAACUGACGCUGAGGCGCGAAAGCGUGGGGAGCAAACAGGGAUUAGAUACCCGUGGUAGUCCACGCCGUAAACGAUGAGUGCUAAGUGUUAGGGGGGUUUUCCGCCCCCUUAGUGCUGCAGCUAACGCAUUAAGCACUCCGCCUGGGGAGUACGGCCGCAAGGCUG